ACUAGACACUGGGGCAGCAGGUGGCCAUGAAAGCAGGUGUGCACUGCUGAUAUACCCCUGGAAGGGGGGAGAAUGGAGUAAUGGGCACUGCUGGAGAGGACACUGCGGUCUAGAGAGCGACGAUGUCCUGGUGGUGGAGACAACACAGCCGAGCAGACAAUGUGCAAGACACCACCUGCAGAAGGUGUUCCACAGCUGAAUGAGCAAAUUCCCAGAGCAAGCCAGCAGGAGGCAUAGCAGUGGUGAAUCUGUGCCGCAUUAAUCUCCAUAAAGGGUUCAGAGUUCUACCUUGACUUGAACAUCCCAAGGACUGGAUAUUUAUCUCAAUUGUCCAAACAUCAGGAGGUUCCUCAUGGCGCUGCUUCCCCCACUCUCGAUGGGUCUCAGUAUCCCCUACCUAAUAUCUUCCUGGGAGGAAGUUUACGUUAGCUAGCCCCAGCCAGCCUCUUCAGGUGCCAAUAGGAUUAACUUCCUUUCUCCACAGUGUAAUCUAGGAGUAGUGUUGCACACACCUUCCCCCUCUCCCAGUAAAAUGGCCAUUCUUGUCGUAUUUCAGAACAUCCAUUUCAAGGCCUUGCUGAGUAUCAGAGAUGAAAAUAUCAUCUUAAUAUUUCAGCUCCUCAAAGGUUCAGUUUUAAAUUUGGUUCUAAAAUUAGGCAAGAUCCACAAGGAGGUGGGUUUGGGAAAGAGGGGCUUCUUAAUGCAGUCAAACCAGUUUGACCAUCUCUGCUUAGCCUCUACUUAUGGUAGAGAAUAAUCACAGUUUUCCCUUCCCAUGCCUCAGCACUCGAAGGUUACAGUAACGUUGCUGAAUUCACUCAUUUAUCCUCUUACUGAUGAAGAGAAUGAUACCCUCCCCAUUGCCCUCUUUGGAGUGGAGCCUGGAUUUUGAAGAUUACUUGGAUGCCAGCCAAAGGGCAGCUGUACAGGAUAAGAGUCCUGUUAGCUGUAGUUUUGCACAUAUAAUUACAUUUAUGCUAGUAUUUGAUGCAUUUCUCAAUGUAAAUGUAGGGAAUGCUACCAUUAAUGUUGCUGCAGAGGUGCAGUAAAUGUCUGAGAUAAACCCAUACAGUGUGUUCAAUUGUGACAUUCUUCUGAAGGAUUCCCAUGACAUGUAUAGAAUUUGUGGGUUCUAUAUAUAGUCUUGCAAAAGGUACCUCUAAGUCCUCUGAGCUUAGAAUGCAGUCCAGUUGGACUGAUGCAACUGUUUUACAGGAUUGCCUUCUGUAUUGCUUAUGUUAAAAUUGAUCGUGGCACUACAAUUAUCUUUUAAUCACCGCUUCAGGCUAGCAUUCUGGUGAAAUGGACUGGUUCAAUUAUUCCUAAUUCAGACAUUCCCUUAAGUAAUCAAGUUGUGCAUGAUUCCAGAUCUUAAACUAAUCCAGAACUCUACUUAUCAUUGCUGUAUCUAGAUUAGGCUUUUUCUAAAAAUUUCCCACUAUUGCUGUUGCAACAGUAGAGUGUCACUGAUUCUAGCAUAGGCUGCCUGAAACAGAUUUUACCAGUGUGUUACCUAUUCCCUCUCACGCUAGGUCAAGAUGACUGUGUGGUAUAAAUGCUGAUGAUCAGUCUAUCGUGUUCUCAGACUUGCUAACACUGACCUGAACUGGUUCUAGAGUGAUGGUAGGAGAUUUUUCAGAAAAAAUUCCUUGUAGACAAGGCCUCCUAGAGGAGACUCUCAGGCACUGAAAUCUCACUUGGUUCCUUCAUUUAAGUAGCAUGAUCCACUAAUUAUGACUGGAGAGAAAGCAAAUUAUUUGUAAAAUUCUGCAGGAACUGGAUGGUUAUUGGCAAAGGGGAUCUUCCACUUCUAAAUCACUGGUUUGACUCUGUCCCACAAUGGUAGCAACCAACUUUGUGCAGUAACCUUUGUGAAAGUCAAGGUCAGUGAAAACUAUUAAAAAAACUAGACUAGAUACGAUAAAUUGAUUUCCCCGAUGGAUUGAUCGCUGCCUGCCAAUCUGGGAGGUAGUGAAGACAUACCCUUAAACCUAAAGAUCAUGGUCACAUUUGAUACUGAUUUUUCUCUUUAUGUACUAACAUGCUGAAUCAGCCCUUCUUUGAAUUUACUUCCCCCUCCAUUUUGAGAUCAGUCAAAUAAUCCACAGUUUUUAUCCCUUAAACAGCCUGUUGAGUAAGGAAGGAAACCAGCAACUGUAUUAAAGGUUUUAAAAAGACAAGACUUCAUAAACAGUACACCAGGAUAAUCUUAUUCAAUGACUCUGGCCAUGUGUAGUAUUUCCCCUCAGGGCUAGAAUUUUUGCUCAUGGACAGUCUCGGGAGGAUUUGAAAGGAUUGCAUGUGCUUAUGUCAGAUUAGUUUGUGUUCCUUAUGAAGGAUUUGAUUGAACUACUGAUUCUUUUAAUGCAACAUUGCUAACAAAACUCAAUGUACAGGUGUUUGCUUUUUAUCCCACUUAUGUCAAUCAAAUUAGGAUUCAGAGCAGAGAGAUUUCUAGCGUACUUUGCCACUAGUAUAUCUCACACAUUACAUGCUUUUCUAGGGACAUCCCACUGAGACCAAUUAUACUAUACCUUGCUUAAGACAGAGCUGUUUACUUUGAUUAUCUUAUAUUGAAAAAAUGUACCAGGUGGUAUGCUGCCCUCUAAUAUCCUGCAAGACAUCUGCUUGUAUCUGCAUUAAAGUUGGUGUGGAUCUCA